rnacentral:lncRNA from 1 species
AGUGUGUUCAUACCCAUAGGUGUCUUAGGUUUCACUAUCCAUCCAUAGUGUCUGAGUUUAGAGUCCACCUUUAGGUUCACCUCUAGGAGCCCCAUAGUCCAGUAUCUACCCAAUAGUGUUCACCCUAUAGAAGGUCCAUCCUGUCCAUUAGUAGAGUCUAAAGUAACCAGAGUCUAGGUUAGAAGACCUUUAGGAUAGUUCUGACCCUCAGUAUAUAUUAGUAUAGCAU